AGGAAGUGGUGUAGUGGAAGCACUAAGA
rnacentral:tRNA from 11 species